AAAAUUUGUCCUUUUGCAUAAAAAAUUUAGGCCAAUUUGCAUAAAAAAUUCACUUAUUUUGGGGUUUUGCAAAACCGGGCCACCUUUUUCGUUUUUGCAGAUACGGGCCGCUUUUUCCGCCGCCUGACCAAAAUGCCCCUGCUAUACAAUAGCCUCCCGCGUAUUUCUUGACAUACGUAUACUACCCUGCCGUACGGUCUGGCGCGCAUUAAAUGACCCGUUCAAUCUCAGUCAUUUCUCGGAACCCGGACCACAUCCACCCCCGCUAUUCGCCGACCCCGCUGUUUCCUGUUCGGCUUUAAUUCUUUAAUACAAUAACUCACGAUAAAUGAGAAAAUAUGCACGGCCCGA
rnacentral:lncRNA from 1 species